rnacentral:tRNA from 1 species
GCUGGUGUAGCUCAAUUGGUAGAGCAACAGCCUUCUAAGCUGUCGGUCAGAGGUUCGAAUCCUCUAAGGCGCG